UAUAUAUUAGUGUAAUAGUGCACAGAAAAUUUUGAUUUUUCUAGCUAAGUUUGAGUCUUAAUUUAUAU
rnacentral:tRNA from 1 species